CUCCGGUCAUCUCCCCCUGGCUACUGCCCUGGUCCCACGUGUCAGGCGCCCAAGUGUGCUCAGGGCCUGGAUACACGUUCCUGGAACCUCAGGGGCGCUGUUUACCUGCUGGGGCGGGGCCCUGGCAAGAGGCGGGGCCCUGGCAAGGGGGCGGGGCCGUCUGGUGGGUGGGGCGUGGGCGGGGCUUCGUGCCGUGGAAUCAUCCUCCCUCCCUCGACCCCUGCGACUGCACUUGGCUACUGGGAGGCGGGUUCACUUCACCAAAGGGACCCCUGCCUUCCGGCGCUCCUGCCCUCUGUGGCUUGUCCCUUCCACGGAUGCACGCGAGUUUAGUGGGACGGGGGAUCUUUAUACAGUUUGAGCGGUGGUCUUUCGGGAAAACAGUGCACCAGUGCAAAAAAAUUAGGCGCAAGGCUUCGGAGGGACGCCUGCGAGCCAGCAUCCCUGCGGUCCAGGCUCCAUUGGCUUUUAGCAGGAUGCAGGCGGGAGACUGGACCUGGGCCAUCGAUAGAGCUGCGGGGAGACAGCGACUCUGCGCCCACGUUGAGGUUCAGUUCAACCCUCCUUUCUCUCUGUUCUCAUCGACUUGACAGUGUCCUGGUCCUGCCAGUGCCUUGGCAGCAAAGGGGUCUUACAUGAUCACCGUCUGUCCCCCAGAGCCGGCCCUGAGGCUUGGGCAGCUUCUGACGGGGCUGCACAGCUGGGGACCCCACGGCAUCCUUAGGGCCCUCGCUACCGCCUUCUGUUUCAAGACACGGAGGAUGUGGACUGGAGGAUGCACCAAAAGGGCAACUGGGUCAGUGGGAUUAACCCCAGCGCCCCUGCACUCCAUGACCC
ensembl:lncRNA